CCGGGGCCAUGGCCGAGGUCGGCGGGAGCCCGCGGAGGAGGGCGCCGGCGCUGCUCGAGGGGGCCCGCGCGCGCUGCGAGAGCCCGCACAUCUGGGACGACGUGUUCGGCGAGUCCAGCCCGGAGAGCGGCGGGAACCCCUUCUACAGCACGUCCGCCGCCUCGCGCUCCUCUUCGGCCGCCGCAUCGGACGACGAACAGGAGCGCCCCGGCCCCCCGCCGCCUCCCGGCGCCCCCGAAGCGCAGGAGUCCGACGAGGACGAGGCCAGCGCGGGUUGGAGUGCCACGCUGCGGGGCCGCCCGCCCAUGCGCUUCGAGGACAGUGGCGCACAAGUCGAGGGAGAGGAUGAAAGAGAAGCAAGAUCUGCACUGAGCAAGGAGCCAGAUGCAGGGCUGGAUCCCAGGACCCUGGACAGAUGCUGCACUGAGGGAGCCACCCAGACACCCUUUUAGACCUAGGAUGCAGGUAAGAUCUGAAGGAGUCAAUCUGUUUCUUCUGUGGCUUCAAGCACUUCAGACAAACUUUGCAGAAGAGCAGGUGCUGAUUUUUGCUUGCCUCGUGCCUGGUUUCCCAGCGAUCAUGUCAUCCAGAGGGACCUGCAUGGUGGAGACACUCAUCAGUCCUAGCCCUGGUGUGGUGGAUGGAAUGAAAAGGACUCGUCAUUCACCGGCAAAUCUGAAGAAAGAAGCGAGAGCAAGAGUAAGGGAGAAAGAGAGUGAGAGGAGCAUCUGAUGGGAUAGGAUUUCUUACAAAAGGACUCCUGAAAUGACCAGAGAAAACAGACCAACAAAAAAGGGCAGACUUUGACCAAGCGGUGCUCAACGACGUGAAUAUCCACAUGGAACAGAAGAGGUUUUAACGCUAUUCCCUACUGAUGUAGCCUACAUACUAAAGAGGACAUCAGAAGUUUUCUGGAAGAUACAAUAGAUAACCAUUUUGAGGACCUGGGGGAGGUGGCAGAGAUGAGUGGAACAGAACACCAAAAACAGGAAGCCCAAGAAAGCUUGGGUGCCGCUUCCAGUCGGCGACGAGAGAAGAAUUAGGCAUGAACCAGUCAGCUGCAAAAGACUGGGAGCAGGGGACAAUAGUCGAAAAGGACGAAAAGGACGGCUGCCAGGAACAACUCCACAGUCUCACUUUUAUUGGAUAGAAAACAAUAGCCAAUAGAAGGAUUGAGGAAGGUCAAAUGUUAAUCCCAUCUUUCUGACAAGCAAGAAGGAGGAUAAAGUUUAUAGUUAAGCAAGCACAUUGAAAAAACUCUUCUAACAACGGGCACUUCUGGGAAGAGAAAGGCUCGAUGGCGGAUAAGGGAGGCAGGCGGUUUUUAUUCCACCCUGAGCUAACCUGGCGUUCCUGGGUGCUCUGCUUUCCUGAAGCAGGCGGCAUUCCGCCCUGGGCCAGCCGGACUUCCAGCCAGCGCAGCUUCUGUGAAGGGGCGGUGUUCCGCCUUGAGCGAGCUGGGCAUCUCCAGCUACCCAGCUUCACAGUCAUAUAUCAUCCUUUUCCCCAAAUACCUGUUGCCAGUAUAUGUAUUUCUAGAGGUCAUAUGUAAAUGUGCUUGGUAACUAGUAAAAUCCUCCAGGGGUUACAGUUUAAGUAACAAAUUGUUCCAAGGGGCAGCAGCAGUUGGGAAGUUGGACUCUACUCAUUCCAAGGUUCCAAACAAAAAAAUCUUGCCCAACAAAUGACAAGACUAAAACUAUUAAAGACUCUAUGCAGAUACCAGAUAAGAAACUGUAUACAACUCUAAAUAGGAGAACUAGGAAUCAAGAAGAAUAGAUAGGUAACUUCAAAACAAUGAAAAUCCUAGAGCAGAAAUAUCCCAAGGAGAAAGCCAUCGGCCAAGAAACAUGAAAAGAUUCCUGAAAUCCUCAGUGAUCACAAAAGAGCAAAGGAAAACACAAUGUGUUAGUGUUAACCCAAGGGGGCAGACCCCAAAGAGUGUUGCUUAAUCCAAUGGAUUGAAUCAUGAAAAACGGAUUUAAUCAUGGAGUGGGGCACCUGGGUGGCUGCUUUCUGCUGGGGUCCUGAUGCCAGUGUCUUGGGCUCCAGACCUUCCUGGGGCUCUGUGCUCAGCAGGAAGCCUGCUUCUCCCUCUCCCACUUCCAUGGCUUCUACUCCUUCUCAAAUUGGGCUUCCUCUCUUGCUGUCUCUGUAUUUCUGUCCAAUUCAUCAAUCGAUCAACCAAUUCCUUCAAUUCAAGAAGUAAAAAUAAAAUGUUGAUGCAUGGGGCCCUAAAGAACGACAAGAAUAUGGAGGGUUGUUUGAUGAUUUUUUAAAGAUUUUCUUUCUUCCUCUGACAGACAGAGAGGAGAAGGAGGGAGAGAGACAGGCAGAGAUGGAGGGGUAAACAGGCUCCAUGCUAAGGAAAGAGCCAGAUGCAGGGCAGGGUGCGCAGGCUGCUGCCUCGCCAAGUCCAGCAUGAAGCCCUGCAGCAGCUCCAGCAGUCCCAAGGGGAUCUCUCUGCAGGUCUUGCCUGCCCCUCUCCCGCCGGGGGCACCUGGGCGCCGCCCUCACCUCCUCCCUGGAACGACCUGUGGCCCUGCCCCACCCCCACCCCCCCCAACAAGCACGCUCAGAGGGCGCUGGAGGCGCUCAAGGAGGCUUGCCCCAAGGCUCCCUUGGCUCAGCUGCUCCCUGCUGCUCCCUGCCAUGGCAGCACCGAGGGCGGCAUCCGCUGAGGGAGCCUGCCCCUGGCAGGGCUGGCAGCACCGAGGGAACCUCCUGCUUGCCCUGGGGCCUGUCACUUCUCUCCCCACCCCUCCCACUCUCAACCAUUGUUCCCUUCUGUGAAGGGUUUUCAUACUUGGUUUUAGGGCAAGAGCACAAUUGAGUGUGAGGGGGAAAGGGCAGGACCAAAAGAGAGACCCAGUGGACUCUGCCCUGAGCCCAGAGUUUGCCUCAGGGCUCAAUCUCAAGAGCCUGUGAUCACCACCUGAGCCAGAACCAAAGAGUUGGGCGCUUUACUGAGUGUGCCACCCAGGUGCCCCUGAGCUGUUGUGGACCAAUUUCUGGAGAGGGGUGCCUGCGUGGCUCUGUUUGUUCAGCGACGGCCUUGGGCUCAGGUCAUGACCCCGGUUUUGCAGGAUCUCCUCCCGCCUCGGGCUCCCAGCUCCUUGGGGAGUUGGUUUCUCCCACUGACCUCCUCUCUCAUGCUCUCUCUCACUCAUUCUCUCACAAAGAAAGAAAGAAAAGCUUUCCAAAAAAUGUCUUUAGCCUUGUUUUAUGGGCUUCAAUAUGGUUGAUCUCAAUGAGUUUUCUCAUCGGAUGCAGACAACUUGAGGAUAGCCAUGAGUUUCUAAAAGGGUCCUUUUGUGUUCUGAAAUGUCUUCUUUCUCUGUUCAUUUAUCAGGUGUCUUUCCAUUGUCUCUUCUCAAGACCUAGGAAAAGCAGCCUUUGAGGAUUCGUUUGGGUAUGGUCUAGUCCUUUUCAUCCUUUUUCUUUCCACAAAAUCUAUAGUAGCCUCUGCAUCCUUCUAAGUAGAGUUUAUUUUUCACUGCCCUAUUGAGGUCUUUUCUUUCAAUAGAAUUUGAGUCGUUCAUUCUGAAGGUCAUUGUUGAAAUGUUGAAUUUGAAGUCUACUACCUCGCUAGGCAUAUUUUCUUGUUCCUGUCUAUUCCUUCUUCCCUUUCCCUUUAGAACUGCCUUCCUUUCGAUGACCUGAGUCCUUUGGAGGCUAAUCUCUGCCUUCUUUGAUUGGCUGUCACAGGGGAAGUCAGAGAUUAGUAGGUAUUUCUGACCCUUUUUACAGUUGUUCUCCCCUUCUUUAGGGAAGCUCUAGAGUCAGCUUUCUCGGAGGGAUCAUUUCAUCCCGCUCCUAACUCAUGCUCCUUACCGGGUCUCUACUGAAUAUUGUGACUUAGCCAGAAGAACACUUCCCUUUGGCUGGUAGGAACUCCAAUGAUCUCUAGCCUUGUAGGAGUCUUGGCAACCAUCUGGUUCCGUUGCCUUGACUCUCUGUCAGAACCUGGAGCAUUUUCUAAGACACACAUUGCUUCCUAUGGACCAAGGACUCAAGAGGACUCCAGUGUGUAUUUUCAAGAGCUUGUUUUCUACUUGAAUUCCGUCUCUCUGGUACCCAUGGCGUUUUCAUCACUCCAGCCUUCCUGAAUCCCAAUCUCUCUUUCCUCACAGCAGGGAGACUUCCAUCUUUUCCUUGGAAUCUCCUCCCUACGUGCACCAUCCAGAACUAUUCCAGGUGAAAAUUGAGUGAAUCCUGGGGCUCAGUUUUUGUUUGUUUGUUUGCUUGCUUUCCUUUUCACACGGUUUUCAAAUGUCCAUUCGUUUUCAAUGUUUUAAAGAGUAAUUUAUGUAGAUAUAGAUAUAGACAUAUCUAUAUAUAUAGAUAGAUUUUUUUCUCUUUUCCAAUUCCUCAUGGGCUUCUGAUUGGUUACUUUUCCUCUAACAGGGUUGUAUUAGUUUUCUAUGGGUGCUAUUACAAGAUACCACAAGCCUAGAGGCUGAAACAACAGAAGUGGACAGUAUCACAGUUCUAGAGGCUACAGUGCUUGUAGACCAUGCUCCUUUUGGAGGUAUUAUGGGAGGAUCUGUUCCAGGCUCCUUUCCCAGCUUGAUGUAUUUGGACUUUGGACUUCUUCACAUGGCCCUCUCCCUCAAUGCAUAUCUGUGUAUCCACAGUCUCCCUUAGAAGGACACAAGUCCUCCUGAAUUAUGGGCCCAGGCUAUUCAAAUAUGAUCUCAUCCAUGCUAGUUACAUCUCCAGGGACCCUAUUUCCAAAUAAGGUCACAAACCCAGGUGCUUGGGUUUAGGACUGGGAUAGUAUAUAUGCAUACACACAUAAACACACACACACAUGUGAGUGUAUGUCUCUCUAUAUAUUUAUAUUUACAUUUAUAUUUAUAUGCACAUAUACUUUUUGAUUUUUUUUCCUAAUAAAACAUUUUUGUUCAGAAUCUUAGUCUU